rnacentral:rRNA from 1 species
AGCGAACGCUGGCGGCAGGCCUAAAACAUGCAAGUCGAACGCCGUAGCAAUACGGAGUGGCAGACGGGUGAGUAACACGUGGGAACAUACCCUUUGGUUCGGAACAACACAGGGAAACUUGUGCUAAUACCGGAUAAGCCCUUACGGGGAAAGAUUUAUCGCCGAAGGAUUGGCCCGCGUCUGAUUAGCUAGUUGGUGGGGUAACGGCCCACCAAGGCUACGAUCAGUAGCUGGUCUGAGAGGAUGAUCAGCCACACUGGGACUGAGACACGGCCCAGACUCCUACGGGAGGCAGCAGUGGGGAAUCUUGCGCAAUGGCCUAACGGCUGACGCAGCGACGCCGCGUGUGGGAUGAAGCUCUUCGGAGUGUAAACCACUGUUGCCCGGGACGAACAGCUCGAUUAAUCGAGCCUGACGGUACCGGGUGAGGAAGCACCGGCUAACUCCGUGCCAGCCGCCGCGGUAAC